AUGUGGGACUUGGCCAAGACUCGCUCAAACCACUGGGAGGAUUUCCAUUUAUUUCAAUUAAUUUUGGAUAAUAUUCCAAGUACAAAUGACAAUUUUCUGUUCCUCAUUGCUCUUUGUGAGCUGAAGGACUGGCAUCAUUUUAUGCAGUCUCUUUUCCAGCAUGAUAUUGCAUCAUUCCAGUUCAGAAGACACUGCGACAAUCCAGCUCAAGGUGACAACACUCGGAAGAAUCCUUGACCACAUCUCUGUCCUUGAAGAAGAGAGUCUUAUAUCAAAUGGACAGACUGUCCUCUGGCUUUUAAACUGUCCUGAAGUGAUGCUCCUCCUCCACAGCUUCCGUCACAUUCUAACAAAAGAUAAUACAUAAAAUUUGCAUAGGUUCGUCUUCCUCUCUCCUGCCUGUUCUCACACUCUCAAACAACAGCUUAGGUGAAUUCUCAUAUUUCAGAUAGAUUUCUGAGCUAGCCAAACCGGUUCCUGUCCAUUUGUUUUAAUGAUGCUUACCUCUCUGAUUAUCAUGUCAUUGUCUGAAGUUUGCUUAAUGCUUCAACCUGUUAAUUUUUAAUGUUGCUGAAGUAUUUCCUUGUAUUGUGAAGAUCUUCCCUAGAAAUAUCUCACCAAACAGGAAUAACCAUAACAGUGUGAUUGUAUGCCUGCAAUGGGAUCUGGGCAGUAAUAAUACAGAAUUAGACUGCAUCUGCAUUCAGUAUGGUCCAGAAGAAAUCUGCUAAACCUAAUCUGGUUUUGUUACUGAACACAUUAACACUCAGCAAGAAAUGGUGUUUGCUAGUUGUCUACCUUUUCUGUGGUAGGACAAGUAUACCUGUAGGAAAAGGAAUGUUAUAAAUUUAUUUUAUUUGUUCACUCAUAUGUUUGUCAGUCACCUUUUCCCUCCAGCUUUGCAGUUCCUAUUAAAUAAUUUUUAAUUCUUUUGGUGAACUCUAAUUUUGGUUUAAUUCUAAACUUCUUUUGGUGAAGUUUAAGUAAAGAUGACUGACAAAGAAUAAUUAAGUUAUGAAAUCAUGAAUUAAUUUAAAUUGAAAAGAACCUGUUGACAUUGUCUGAUUCAAUAUUUCAUUUAAAGUAUGGCUGUCUCCAAAGCAUGUCCAGUCAGGUUUUGAAUAUCUCAAGGAUGAAGAGUCCACAUAAGCUCUGGACAUCUUCUUCCAUGCUUCACCAUCUGUUGUGUGAAAAUUUUUUUCUUGCCUUAAAUCAGAAUUUAUUUUAUUAUUUUAUUAUAUCUUAAGUCCAUUUCUUCUUGUCCUUUCAAUUCUGAAGAAGAAUCUGUCUUUUCUAUAAACUAACUUUACAUGGGAGAAGACUGCAACUAUAUUUCCUCUUAGCCUUUUUUAAUACAGGCUGAGUUAAACCAGACUGUCUCAGAUGCUGUCUUUGUUCCAGCCACUAGCUAUUCCGUUGACCUUCCUCUACCUAUCUGCCGUUGCAUUUCUUGUACCAGGGAGUGAAACCUGGACAUAGGACUCCAUCUCUGAUCACACAAUUGCUGAGUAAAUGAGAAGUGUCAAUUUCCAUCCUGUGAUAACUACAUUCUUGCUAAUAUAGCCUGAACAUAGAAAACUAAAUUAUCUGUAGUAGUCGUAAACUGCAUAUAUACUUUUCUUUAAAAAAGAAAGAAAACAAAACAAAAAAGCAAGGUUGCUGAUCAACAUGUGAGUAACUACACCUAUGGGGAGCAGGAGUUUCCCUUCCUCUUCCUCAACCAAACAGAUGAUGAAAAGGAAGGGAAAGCUGAGUAUACUGUUGAAGUGAUUAGGGACAAAGAAAAGAUAUAGGGAUGCUGAAAAAAGACUUAGUCAAUGUAGAGUGCGCCUACAAUUAUCUCAGUAGUAAGGGAUAUAAAGAAAGAAAUGAAAAUUGUUAUAGUAAUGUUGUAAAAAUGGCUGUAGGACUGUUAAAGACAGACUACCAUGUUUACUUCUCAUUAUACAAUACAUUUAUGCUAAUGAUUUGGUCAUAUGUGUUAUUAUUUCUGUCAGCAUAAGUAAUACUUCAAACUACUCCUAUCUAACCUCUUACCUACACAUCUUUCCCAGAAGACUUAUGAUUACCAAGCUAGGACGCAAGCAAAAAUGCCUAAGUUAUUGCUGGAGCUACUGUUUAUUGCUACUGUGCUGCUAGUAAAAA
ensembl:lncRNA